AACGAACGCUGGCGGCAGGCUUAACACAUGCAAGUCGAACGGUGAAGGUGGAGCUUGCUCCGCCGGAUCAGUGGCGAACGGGUGAGUAACACGUGGGCAACCUGCCCCUAACUUUGGGAUAACUACUCGAAAGAGUAGCUAAUACCGGAUAUGAAGUCUGUAGGCAUCUAUGGAUUUGGAAAGUUUUUCGGUUAGGGAUGGGCCCGCGGCCUAUCAGCUUGUUGGUGAGGUAGUGGCUCACCAAGGCGACGACGGGUAGCCGGCCUGAGAGGGCGACCGGCCACACUGGGACUGAGACACGGCCCAGACUCCUACGGGAGGCAGCAGUGGGGAAUAUUGCGCAAUGGGCGAAAGCCUGACGCAGCAACGCCGCGUGCGGGAUGAAGGCCUUCGGGUUGUAAACCGCUUUCAGCAGGGAAGAAGCGAAAGUGACGGUACCUGCAGAAGAAGCACCGGCUAACUACGUGCCAGCCGCCGCGGUAA
rnacentral:rRNA from 1 species